rnacentral:rRNA from 1 species
GACGAACGCUGGCGGCGUGCUUAACACAUGCAAGUCGAACGGUGAUGCUCCAGCUUGCUGGAGUGGAUCAGUGGCGAACGGGUGAGUAACACGUGAGCAACCUGCCCCAGACUCUGGAAUAAGCGCUGGAAACGGCGUCUAAUACUGGAUACGAAACUGGCCCGCAUGGGCAUGGUUUGGAAAGUUUUUCGGUUUGGGAUGGGCUCGCGGCCUAUCAGCUUGUUGGUGAGGUAAUGGCUCACCAAGGCGACGACGGGUAGCCGGCCUGAGAGGGCGACCGGCCACACUGGGACUGAGACACGGCCCAGACUCCUACGGGAGGCAGCAGUGGGGAAUAUUGCACAAUGGGCGAAAGCCUGGUGCAGCGACGCCGCGUGAGGGAUGACGGCCUUCGGGUUGUAAACCUCUUUCAGCAGGGAAGAAGCGAAAGUGACGGUACCUGCAGAAGAAGCACCGGCUAACUACGUG